rnacentral:rRNA from 1 species
UACAGAGGGGGCAAGCGUUAUUCGGAAUUAUUGGGCGUAAAGGGCGCGUAGGCGGCUUUUUAAGUGAGAUGUGUAAUCCCCGAGCUCAACUUGGGAACUGCAUCUCAUACUGGAAGGCUAGAGUACUGGAGAGGGUGGUAGAAUUCCACGUGUAGCGGUGAAAUGCGUAGAGAUGUGGAGGAAUACCAGUGGCGAAGGCGGCCACCUGGACAGUAACUGACGCUGAGGCGCGAAAGUGUGGGUAGCAAACAGG